UACGUAGGGAGCAAGCGUUGUCCGGAAUCAUUGGGCGUAAAGCGCGCGUAGGUGGCUCCAUAAGUCCGCUGUGAAAGUCAAAGGCUCAACCUUUGAAAGCCGGUGGAUACUGUGGAGCUAGAGUCCGGAAGAGGCGAGUGGAAUUCCUGGUGUAGCGGUGGAAUGCGCAGAUAUCAGGAGGAACACCAAUAGCGAAGGCAGCUCGCUGGGACGGUACUGACACUGAGGCGCGAAAGCGUGGGGAGCGAACAGG
rnacentral:rRNA from 1 species